rnacentral:tRNA from 1 species
GACCCGGUAGCUCAGCCGGAUAGAGCAUCUGCCUUCUAAGCAGAGGGUCGGGAGUUCGAGUCUCCCCCGGGUCGCCA